rnacentral:rRNA from 1 species
CCUACGGGUGGCAGCAGUGAGGAAUAUUGGUCAAUGGACGAGAGUCUGAACCAGCCAAGUAGCGUGAAGGAUGACUGCCCUAUGGGUUGUAAACUUCUUUUAUAUGGGAAUAAAAUGUUCCACGUGUGGGAUUUUGUAUGUACCAUAUGAAUAAGGAUCGGCUAACUCCGUGCCAGCAGCCGCGGUAAUACGGAGGCUCCGAGCGUUAUCCGGAUUUAUUGGGUUUAAAGGGAGCGUAGGUGGAUUGUUAAGUCAGUUGUGAAAGUUUGCGGCUCAACCGUAAAAUUGCAGUUGAAACUGGCAGUCUUGAGUACAGUAGAGGUGAGCGGAAUUCGUGGUGUAGCGGUGAAAUGCUUAGAUAUCACGAAGAACUCCGAUUGCGAAGGCAGUUCACUGGACUGCAACUGACACUGAGGCUCGAAAGUGUGGGUAUCAAACAGGAUUAGAUACCCUGGUAGUC